ACUGGGUGUGGUGGCAGGCACCUGUAGUCCCAGCUACUGGGGAGGCUGAGGCAGAAGAAUGGCGUAAACCUGGGAGGAGGAGCUUCCAGUGAGCUGAGAUAGCACCACUGCACUCCAGCCUGGGCANNNNNNNNNNUGCCCAGGCUGGAGUGCAGUGGUGCUAUCUCAGCUCACUGGAAGCUCCUCCUCCCAGGUUUACGCCAUUCUUCUGCCUCAG
rfam:Gorilla gorilla gorilla genomic chromosome, chr13, whole genome shotgun sequence